UACAGAGGUCUCAAGCGUUGUUCGGAUUCAUUGGGCGUAAAGGGUGCGUAGGCGGCGCGGUAAGUCGGGUGUGAAAUCUUGGAGCUUAACUCCGAAACUGCAUUCGAUACUGCCGUGCUUGAGGACUGGAGAGGAGACUGGAAUUUACGGUGUAGUGGUGAAAUGCGUAGAUAUCGUAAGGAAGACCAGUGGCGAAGGCGGGUCUCUGGACAGUUCCUGACGCUGAGGCACGAAGGUCAGGGGAGCAAACGGG
rnacentral:rRNA from 1 species